rnacentral:rRNA from 1 species
AAUACCGCAUAACGUCGCAAGACCAAAGAGGGGGACCUUCGGGCCUCUUGCCAUCGGAUGUGCCCAGAUGGGAUUAGCUAGUAGGUGGGGUAACGGCUCACCUAGGCGACGAUCCCUAGCUGGUCUGAGAGGAUGACCAGCCACACUGGAACUGAGACACGGUCCAGACUCCUACGGGAGGCAGCAGUGGGGAAUAUUGCACAAUGGGCGCAAGCCUGAUGCAGCCAUGCCGCGUGUAUGAAGAAGGCCUUCGGGUUGUAAAGUACUUUCAGCGGGGAGGAAGGGAGUAAAGUUAAUACCUUUGCUCAUUGACGUUACCCGCAGAAGAAGCACCGGCUAACUCCGUGCCAGCAGCCGCGGUAAUACGGAGGGUGCAAGCGUUAAUCGGAAUUACUGGGCGUAAAGCGCACGCAGGCGGUUUGUUAAGUCAGAUGUGAAAUCCCCGGGCUCAACCUGGGAACUGCAUCUGAUACUGGCAAG